GAAAGUUCGGGGCAGGCGUGACAGCUCAAAAGAAAAAGGAAAAGUGGGUGGAGUUGACCCACACGAUCAACGCAGCCUUUCCAGGAUGCAUCAGAGCCCCCGAGGAGGUGGAAAAGAAAUGGCAUAACAUCCAAAGUAAAGCCAGGGGAGAAAUUGCAAGGUACAAGCAAGGUGUUAUCAGCACAGGUGGUGGUCCAUCACCAUGCCCUACUUU